CAGUGUUGGUGAAAAGAGACAAAACGGCCGCUUUUGGACGCGACGCGCCCGAGCCCUCUCCAGGGAGGGCAAGGGCGGCCGUCUGUUUCUGACCACCCAAACAACCACCCCACCCCUGCUUAAUACGCACCUCUUGUUUCCUCGGCGGGCCCGCCCGCCGCAGGACCCCUUUUAGAAACGCUUUUGCAAACCACGCAGUCGUUCGUCUGAGCGGAGUUUUAUACACGCAAUCAAAUUA
rnacentral:misc_RNA from 1 species